CAACUGUACCAGAACAACCCCUUUCCUUUAUACUCUUAUCAGUGAAGCAAGUGAAGAAGACCACUGCACAAAGCCGAGGCGACACGGGGAGCACAGAACACCUUAAGAAAACGCGAUGUUAGAUGUGAUUGGCAAAGACAUUAUUCUAUCCUUGCUGUCCUGUCGUUCCGGGAUUACAAUGACGUCACACUGAUACCCUUGCAUGGGUGAAUGCUAAAGAACUAUAGAGGCACAAAUAAUAGCACAAGCAGAGUCCAUAUCUUGCAAGUCUUACGUUAUCCUUUAAGCCUUCUUCAGCUAAUACAACAACCAUUUUUUGUACUUAAUGACGCGUAAUUUCAUUUUCUUAUCAUUUCCUUCGGGGGAUUAUUCAUAUAUAAAACUAUCUGCAGCUGUUGGUACCAGCCUCAACUCUCCCUCCUAAGUGCAAUCAUCUAUUAUUGAGCGAGAGGCCGUGCGUGGAAAUGUGUGGAAGAAGGUGGAUUUGAAGUAGAAUUGGUUACAAUCGAUCAAGGGUGAAGAAUAUUCCUGAUGUUAACAAAAGAAGCAGCUAUGUCUUUCUCUCAGUUUGGAUAUCCUUAUAAUGCAACUUCACAGUUUUUCGUGUCGGCAAACCCCAGUACGACUUGCUGCGAUUCGAUUUCCAGGUCGGUCUCUGACGGGACGAGCGGUACCCAGACUCCUGCUACCUUCUGCUGCCCUUCCUACGAGAACCGGCUCCUGGCCAGCACACGGACGGAGCUCAACGCGGCACUAGGGAUGUAUAGCUCGCCCUACGCUGCCGCGGCCGCCGCCAGCCAGAACUAUGCCAGCUACUUCCCCUACAGCGCCGAGCCCUCCGCUGCUAUCUACUCAUCUCUGAAUCCACAGUAUGAAAUGAAGGAUGGCACAGGCACUCUGCAUUCUGGCAUAACUCAACCUGCCACCUACUAUCCUUAUGACCACUCACUGGGCCAGUACCAAUAUGACAGGUAUGGGACUAUGGAUUUUAAUGGAUCAGCCAGGAGGAAGAAUGCCACACGUGAGACCACCAGUACCCUGAAGACAUGGCUGUACGAGCACAGGAAAAACCCCUACCCCACCAAGGGCGAGAAGAUCAUGCUGGCCAUCAUCACCAAAAUGACCCUCACCCAAGUUUCCACCUGGUUCGCCAACGCCAGGAGGAGGCUAAAGAAGGAGAACAAGAUGACCUGGUCACCAAAGAAUAAGGCUGGGGACGACAGGAAGGACGACCUGGAUAAAAGUGGCCAAGACUGUGUCACCAAAGAUUCCAGUGAGUGUAAAGAUGAGAAAGACCUUCAUCUGAGUGACCUGGAGGACAUGGAGGACGAGGACUGUGACAAGCUGGACAGUGACCGUGAGAAGAUGGCACCCAGGGGCCCUGAGGAACAGCAGGACCUCCACAGGGCCAUGUCCAGUGGUGGUGUUGGCUCUGGAGGCCUUCCAAAGAGAGACUGCAGCUCAGAGCUCUCCCUCUCCUUGUCCAACAGCUUCCACCACUCAUUCCCAUGUGGUAUCAAGAGCCUACCCUCCCUGCCCUCUCUACCCACCAUGCCCUCGGACUUCCUUGAUCCACUGGUGACGUCCAAGCCCCCCUCCACCACCACCACCAUCCCCACGGGCACUCACACUGUGUCCCUGUCACACUUUGAGGUGUCGGACCGGGACAAACCGAGGAUCUGGUCUCUGGCGCGUACAGCGGCCACGGGGGUCAUCCUGGGCUCUGCUCACCACGGGGCCCCAGAGCUCCGGACAGGGAGCAUGCUGGGAGACUGCCAUCUACAGGGGACCAGGCUACCAGUGACUGGUACCAGACAGUGUGGGCCCCUCAGGGGCCUCCAGGAUCCUACUAACAUAUCCAAUGCUGAGAACCCUUUCCAAGAGGGCCCCUUGUUGCAAUCUAAGGUCUAUAGUGCAGGCAGCUACAACCAGAAGGCCCUCCAACUGCACUGUUCCUCCUAUCCUGCUCUUUCAGACUCUUGCCAGUACUCCACUAUUGAAGGUAGGAUUCUCCAGUGGGAAGGCAGAGACAGAGCCCUCGGAACUCAGUGACACAUGUGUGACCCUGCAGGAUGACAAGGUCACUGCCUUCAGACCUGUUAUGAAGAGGUGAGGAAGGUUGAUGGACACGCAGUCGUUACACAGUGGGACUUGUAUUUAGCCGGUCUUAGGCUAUGCACUAUAAAGACUUGGGAUGACGACGAGCACCGGACAUCCUACCUACCUUACACCUGGGAACUGCGGCCCUCCGCAGUCAAAGCUCGAUGAGCCCUGUCCAAACUGUGGAAGCUGCCAUCAUUUUGCACAACGUUGUUUUUAUGGUGUUGACGAUGACUUUAUGCAAGACUUUGAAAUGCAACGGUAUGGGAACUGACGGUCAAUUCAUGAUGUAUGCAAAGGGCAAUCGUAGUGUAGCAAUGUUAUUUAUUUAUUUGUGUAUUUAUUAUUUGAUUCUCAUCUGUUCAUGUAUUUAUUUCGUAUGUGUCAAUUAAAUAUUUUGUUACAUGUAUUGUAUUGUUUCAACUGUGGUUGUGUGCUAUUUUAUACCUGAUUUAAGGGAGAAAUACUUAGCUUGUUGUUGGUCUUUCUGUUCGCUAAAUGAGUGGGAUUUAUCGAGUUGUAAUCGGAAUUGUCUAUUGCGUGUGUCGACCUGGAGAAAUUGUUGAUUGUGUUGUGUUCCUCUCAAAGAUAAUUGUGAGCUUAUUCUGUUCUUGCCAUUCAUGAAAUAUUUUAUAAGAAUUAAUUUUUUCAGGAACACCUCGUUUUUGUGUAAAUAUUAUUUCCAGAACAUUAACAUUGGUUUAAUCGGCCAAUUAAAACCUUUGAGACUGUU